AAACUAUUUAGAGACUUUAAAAAAAAUAGCUGACAUUAAAGCUGUUUUCUCAUUAUUCCUAUAAUCCUUUAGUCAUCCUCCCGUGUUCAGCUUUGCAAGUCUCCUUCAGUGAAAAUCAGUCUAGUCCUACAGCCCCCUCUCCUGUGCAUUUAUCAUCAGUGCAAGAAAUUCAGUGAUUUGGAUCAGGUUGGUUGGAUCCCUUUGGUUGGAUCAGGUUAGGCGAGCAACUG
rnacentral:lncRNA from 12 species